rnacentral:rRNA from 1 species
UACGUAGGGUGCGAGCGUUGUCCGGAAUUAUUGGGCGUAAAGAGCUCGUAGGCGGUCUGUCGCGUCGGUCGUGAAAACUUGGGGCUUAACCCUGAGCUUGCGGUCGAUACGGGCAUGACUGGAGUUCGGUAGGGGAGACUGGAAUUCCUGGUGUAGCGGUGAAAUGCGCAGAUAUCAGGAGGAACACCGGUGGCGAAGGCGGGUCUCUGGGCCGUAACUGACGCUGAGGAGCGAAAGCGUGGGGAGCGAACAGG